UACGUAGGGGGCAAGCGUUGUCCGGAUUUAUUGGGCGUAAAGAGCGUGUAGGCGGCUUUACAGGUCCGUUGUGAAAACUCGAGGCUCAACCUCGAGACGCCGGUGGAAACCGUAAGGCUAGAGUCCGGAAGAGGAGAGUGGAAUUCCUGGUGUAUCGGUGAAAUGCGCAGAUAUCAGGAAGAACACCCGUGGCGAAGGCGGCUCUCUGGGACGGUACUGACGCUGAGACGCGAAAGCGUGGGGAGCGAACAGG
rnacentral:rRNA from 1 species